rnacentral:rRNA from 1 species
CUCCUACGGGGGGCAGCAGUAGGGAAUUUUCGUCAAUGGGCGCAAGCCUGACCGAGCAAUGCCGCGUGAACGAGGAAGGUCUUCGGAUCGUAAAGUUCUGUUGAAGGGGAAAAAGCGCGGAGAGAGGAAAUGAACUCCGAUUGAUAUUACCCUUCGAGAAAGCCACGGCUAACUACGUGCCAGCAGCCGCGGUAAUACGUAGGUGGCGAGCGUUAUCCGGAAUGAUUGGGCGUAAAGGGUGCGUAGGCGGCCUGCUAGGUCUGUCGUGAAAGGUCCCGGCGCAACCGGUACAGGCUCUGGAAACU